UCAGUGCUCAUCCCACUAUGGGCAUCCAGACCCUCUGUUGUGUGAUCUUUUAUGUUCUGAUAGCAAAUCACACAGAUGCUGGAGUCACCCAGACACCCAGGCAUGAGGUGGCAGAGAAAGGACAAACAAUAACUCUGAAGUGUGAGCCAGUUUCAGGCCACAAUGACCUUUUCUGGUACAGACAGACCAAGAUACAGGGACUAGAGUUGCUGAGCUACUUCCGCAGCAAGUCUCUCAUGGAAGAUGGUGGGACUCUCAAGGAUCGAUUUAAAGCUGAGAUGCCAAAUUCAUCCUUUUCCACUCUGAAGAUUCAACCUACAGAACCCCAGGACUCAGCUGUGUAUCUGUGUGCCAGCAGUUUAGCCACAGAGCUAUAUAAGGAUGCCCUGCCUGUGCAAAAACACUCGUAUCCUCCUCUCCCUCCAGGCCCUACCAGUUCUGAAGUUUCCUGUGCUCCUUCAUUAACACAAACAAAAACAACAAGGAAUAGAGGCAUGACAAAAAACAGAAGAUAA